rnacentral:tRNA from 1 species
ACCUGGGUGGCUCAGUCGGUUGAGCAUCUGACUUCAGCUCAGGUCAUGACCUUGGGCUCUGUGAGUUCGAGCCCCGCGUCAGGCU